CUGCCAGUGGGAAAGGAUCUCUUCUAGAGAUUCCUCCUCUAGAGUUUUGCAGCAAGUCCAGGAUGCAGAAUAUUUUUGUUGCACGCUUCACAAAAUAGAAUCCACUUCCCGUGAGUCAGCCAUUAGAGGGCAGCAUCGCAUCCCCAAACGAUAGCAUACAUGCUGAAACUACCGAAGAAUGCUGCUAUUAUCUCACUGAGUGACGUUCACCAUUGGAGCCUGUUAAGUACUUCUACAUGAGGAAGGAAUGAUGCAUUUAAGGCAAGAUUCUCCAAGAGAAGAGUAAUUUUGGCCUGAAUAUUUUAAUUCUGGCUAAGAGAAUUUAUUCCCUUUGUUCUUUUCAAAUAAUGUAUAAAUUUUAAGUCCUUCCCGAUCACAGAAGCAAUUAUAGAUUAGCUUCACUGAAUAUUUCUGACUAUUUAGUGCCUUCUUGUUUUCAUCUUAAAACUGGAAUUUGGAAGCAUAAUUAAGGAACAUCUCCUUGCUAAAUAAAUUAAAGCAGUAAAUUAUGCUCAGAAAUCAUGUUACAGAAAGAAUUAGUAGAAUGUGUCUCACAAUACAUGAGCCUCAGAUAUUCUUCGGAAAAUACACUGUACAGACUUCUGUAGUGAUGUUUUCCUCAGAUUUCUGAAAAUCCUUUCUUAGUUAAAAAAAAAUAAAUACUGCUUCUUCUAUGGCAUCGAAUCUUGAAGUGUAGCCUUCACAUAUUUCCAGACUAACCUGUGAAGAGACAACUUUCUCCAUUCUUAAAGGAGGAAGACAGGGAGAAUAAACAAGUAAAACAAAACAAGAAAAUGAUAUUCAGUCUGCAUAACAUAUUGAAUUUGAUUGGUAAUCUUUAGCCUAUCACUGACCAAGAACAUCCAACUAAUGUUUGUAUGAAAACAAAUCUACUCUCAGCUGCUGAGCAAUUAAUUUGCUAAUUUUAGUUGUGUACAAAAUCAGCUUUGUAUCAAUUUUCAUUCUUUGUACUCAUUCUAUAGAUAUUAAAUAAGGCUGGCUUCCCAUGCAAACUGCUUGUUGUUUUUUUAACAGCAGUUUUCCCCAGGAGUUUAAUAGGCUGUUUGUUCUGUCUAGUUGCCCAAGGAAGAAAAGCUAUAUUCUCAAUUCAAAGGGGAUAUACUUAGCCAUGAAUGUUUUAUUCCCCAGUGAUCACAUUUAAUCUAUUCACCAGUUUACUCACUAAACUAUUAAGUCUACACCCAACCCCCACUCUAAACCUUAACUCAUUGUAAGCUGAAGAAUUUGCAGUUUCUUCCCAUGCUUAGCUAAAACUAACGUCUUUGAACUACUACUUUAAGGACUGUGCUCAGCUCCUAUGCCAUUAGGGAGAACAUGGAGAAGAGUUCCAAGAAUUUGGACAAGAAGAAACAGAUAUUUUUUUAUUGGUAGUUACAGCAAGAAUAAAUCCACAUGGAAUUAUCUCAUCACAUUCCAUACAAAUCAGUAUUUGCCAAGGAACCUUUAAAUAACUCAGCUUCAAAUAAUUUGCUGUUUUAUUUAUCUUACAGUAACUGGAUGAGAAAAUUAUGUAGCAUCUUGCUCUCCACUCUAUCAGCUUAUAUGUUACAGUGUGAAGGUCACAGGAAGUCAUGGGAAGAAGCUUUUAUAAUAUUAACUUUAAGGAGUAUAUUUAAGUAUAGCAAAUUUAAAACACUUAGCAGUAUCUCUGCACAUGGUUUUAGUUCUACAUGGAAGUACUGUUGUCUAAUUAUAACCAAGUUACACCUUAGAGGAAUGAAUUCUAGAUACCCAAGUUCAAUAACCGAAAUAAAGAGCCUCCAGUGUGCCUCUUCUGAAAGAGAAAUUGCAAUGUUAUUUCCACUUGUAUAGAAAAAAAAAAAAUGUUUCUUCUUAGCCAUCAUUAGCUAGUAAUAAACUAGGAAAAGCUUAAAUGGGAGACUGUCAGAAUCAUUUUUUCCUACUAUCUGCAAAACUCAAUAAAUUGAAUUUAUCAUAUCAUUCAUUCAAGCUAAUUAAUAAACAUUAUACAUAAUGAGCUCUUUCAUUAACAGAUGUGGAUAUUUGUGUAUUUACAUGGUUCUUAGUAUUGUCUUAAACAAAAGGUCAAGCAGAAUAACGAGUCAAUAUCUAGUAAUCGAUUGUAGCUCAACAGGGCCAUUGCCUGACACUGAAUUUAGUUAAGGUUUGCAGUUGCACAAUUGCAGUUUGAGUUGAGUUAUCAUAUAGAUGUGAGACAGAGAAAAUAAA